AACGAACGCUGGCGGCAGGCUUAACACAUGCAAGUCGAGCGCCCCGCAAGGGGAGCGGCAGACGGGUGAGUAACGCGUGGGAAUCUACCCAUCUCUACGGAAUAACACAUGGAAACGUGUGCUAAUACCGUAUACGUCCUUUGGGAGAAAGAUUUAUCGGAGACGGAUGAGCCCGCGUUGGAUUAGCUAGUUGGUGGGGUAAAGGACUACCAAGGCGACGAUCUAUAGCUGGCAUGAGAGGAUGAUCAGCCACACUGGGACUGGGACACGGCCCAGACUCCUACGGGCGGCAGCAGUGGGGAAUAUUGGACAAUGGGCGCAAGCAUGAUCCAGCCAAGCCGCGUGAGUGAUGAAGUCCCUAGGCUUGUAAAGCUCAUUCACCGGUGAAGAUAAUGACGGUAACCGGAGAAGAAGCCCCGGCUAACUUCGUGCCAGCCGCCGCAGUAAGAC
rnacentral:rRNA from 1 species